rnacentral:rRNA from 1 species
AUGGGUGAUUUUAGUGAGAUCUUAUACAACUUUGAGAAGCAAGGUGGGGUGGCCAGAACACAAGUCUUUAUGAAUUGUUUUCAUGAUGCUUUGAACUUUUGUAAUUUGAAUGACCUCGGAUUUGAGGGUGACAUUUUUACCUGGCGCAAUAAUAAUUUUCGUGUUGAUGGGUAUAUUCGGGAAAGAUUAGAUAGAGCUGUUGCAAAUGCUGAAUGGUGUGCUCGUUUCCCCGGGUAUAAAGUGGUAAAUGGUUGCCCUGAACAUUCUGACCAUCGGCCCGUUAUUUUGCAUGUCAAUGGAGCGUCCAAGAGACCCAGGCCGAAACCAAAUAAUCUGAAUAAACGUUUUGAGGCACGUUGGCUAUUAGAGGAUGAUUGUGGAAGCAUUGUGAUGGAUGCUUGGCAAAAGGCUGGUGACCGAGGAGAGAACACAGUUGCACAACUUAUUAAGGCUGUGUCACAGAAGCUUGAUGCCUGGAGCAGAGAGGUCCUUGGGGAUCUGCAAUAA